rnacentral:rRNA from 1 species
GACGAACGCUGGCGGCGUGCCUAAUACAUGCAAGUAGAACGCACAGUUUAUACCGUAGCUUGCUACACCAUAGACUGUGAGUUGCGAACGGGUGAGUAACGCGUAGGUAACCUGCCUGGUAGCGGGGGAUAACUAUUGGAAACGAUAGCUAAUACCGCAUAAUAUUAAUUAUUGCAUGAUAAUUAAUUGAAAUGUGCAAUUGCACCACUACCAGAUGGACCUGCGUUGUAUUAGCUAGUAGGUGAGGUAACGGCUCACCUAGGCGACGAUACAUAGCCGACCUGAGAGGGUGAUCGGCCACACUGGGACUGAGAAACGGCCCAGACUCCUACGGGAGGCAGCAGUAGGGAAUCUUCGGCAAUGGACGAAAGUCUGACCGAGCAACGCCGCGUGAGUGAAGAAGGUUUUCGGAUCGUAAAGCUCUGUUGUAAGAGAAGAACGGGUGUGAGAGUGGAAAGUUCACACUGUGACGGUAUCUUACCAGAAAGGGACGGCUAACUACGUG